GCGAUAUUCGAGCCCCAGAUACGUGUGCGCACCGUUGGGAACGGAGCGCGAAUACAGAAAUCACGGGCAAGGUGGAUCGCGGCUGGCGCGAAAAGCCCUACCCGAAAAGGGAAGCGCGGACACGUGGGAGGAAAGACGAAACGGCUGGAAAUCGAGCGUACAAUAAACACACCGGAUUGCAUAACCGUGUGCGUCAUGCGAUGACUGCACCGACUGCACAGGUCCCGUCCCAGCGUCGUUGUCGUUCUGCAGCGGUGCGAGGAAGGCGCACUGAUGAACCAAUAAGGCAAGAUAGGUGCCCUCGAUUCCGAGAGACGCGCUUUGUACGCGACGCGCCGCGUUUGUUUCCACUCGCGCGUGCCUCGCAAGAUGAAUAAUCGAGCGAUUUAUCGAGAUCGUGAGGCGGAGGGUGAUCUUCUAGAUUAGGUGCCCGUUCGAGAUACAACACGAUGACUCUACGGUCGAUUAAAUCCAUUCGGGUUAACGAGCAGGACUUUGGAGGAGAUGGAUGAUGAUCACUCGGCACCUGAAUCCUCGAGAAAUAGGAAACAGUAUUAAGGAUAGGUGUAUAAUUGUUAGACAGGAGACUCUUGGGGGCAGAUGAUGAUGCAACUGGAUUCUGAGGAAAUAGGAAAUACAAUUAAGAAUAGGAAUAGGACUGUUAGGCGUUUUUGAAUAAUUAUGAUGAUACCUGGAGUGAUCUACUAAAUCAUGUUGAAAAUUGUAAUUUGGAAAUAAACACCAUCCAUAGUU